UACAUGCAAGUCGAACGCACAGCGAAAGGUGCUUGCACCUUUCAAGUGAGUGGCGAACGGGUGAGUAACACGUGGACAACCUGCCUCAAGGCUGGGGAUAACAUUUGGAAACAGAUGCUAAUACCGAAUAAAACUUAGUGUCGCAUGACACAAAGUUAAAAGGCGCUUCGGCGUCACCUAGAGAUGGAUCCGCGGUGCAUUAGUUAGUUGGUGGGGUAAAGGCCUACCAAGACAAUGAUGCAUAGCCGAGUUGAGAGACUGAUCGGCCACAUUGGGACUGAGACACGGCCCAAACUCCUACGGGAGGCUGCAGUAGGGAAUCUUCCACAAUGGGCGAAAGCCUGAUGGAGCAACGCCGCGUGUGUGAUGAAGGCUUUCGGGUCGUAAAGCACUGUUGUAUGGGAAGAACAGCUAGAAUAGGAAAUGAUUUUAGUUUGACGGUACCAUACCAGAAA
rnacentral:rRNA from 1 species